rnacentral:rRNA from 1 species
CCUACGGGAGGCAGCAGUGAGGAAUAUUGGUCAAUGGCCGGAACGCUGAUCCAGCCAAGUCGCGUGAGGGACGACUGCUCUCUGGGUUGUAAACCUUUUUUGUAAGGGAGGAGUAAAUGCUACGUGUUGCAUGAUGCCUGUCCCUCAUCAAUACGCAUCGGCUAAAUCUGUGCCAGCAGCCGCGGUAAUACGGAGGUUGCGAGCGUUAUCCGGAUUUAUUGGGUUUAAGGGUGCGUAGGCGGUUUUUUAAGUUAGUAGUGAAACGUCGGGGCUUCACCUUGAUUUGGCAUUAAUACUGUAAGACUCGAGUUCAGACGAGGGAGGCGGAAUAAGUUAAGUAGCGGGGAAAUGCUUAGGAAUA